rnacentral:rRNA from 1 species
UACGUAGGCAGCAAGCGUUGUUCGGAAUUACUGGGCGUAAAGAGUGUGUAGGCGGUGCUCUAAGUUCGGUGUGAAAUCUCCCGGCUUAACUGGGAGGGUGCGCCGGAAACUGGAGUGCUCGAGCGUGGGAGAGGAAAGCGGAAUUCCUGGUGUAGCGGUGAAAUGCGCAGAUAUCAGGAGGAACACCGGUGGCGAAGGCGGGUCUCUGGGCCGAUACUGACGCUGAGGAGCGAAAGCGUGGGGAGCGAACAGG